GGAUGCGAUCAUACCAGCACUAAAGCAUCGGAUCCCAUCAGAACUCCGAAGUUAAGCGUGCUUGGGCGAGAGUAGUACUAGGAUGGGUGACCUCCUGGGAAGUCCUCGUGUUGCAUUCU
rnacentral:rRNA from 2 species